UACGUAGGGAGCGAGCGUUGUCCGGAAUUAUUGGGCGUAAAGAGCUCGUAGGCGGUUUGUCGCGUCUGCUGUGAAAACUCGGGGCUUAACCCCGGGCCUGCAGUGGGUACGGGCAGACUAGAGUGCGGUAGGGGAGACUGGAAUUCCUGGUGUAGCGGUGAAAUGCGCAGAUAUCAGGAGGAACACCGGUGGCGAAGGCGGGUCUCUGGGCCGUAACUGACGCUGAGGAGCGAAAGCGUGGGGAGCGAACAGG
rnacentral:rRNA from 1 species